AUUGAACGCUGGCGGCAUGCCUUACACAUGCAAGUCGAACGGUAACAGGUCUUCGGAUGCUGACGAGUGGCGAACGGGUGAGUAAUACAUCGGAACGUGCCCGAUCGUGGGGGAUAACGGAGCGAAAGCCUUGCUAAUACCGCAUACGAUCUACGGAUGAAAGCAGGGGACCGCAAGGCCUUGCGCGGACGGAGCGGCCGAUGGCAGAUUAGGUAGUUGGUGGGAUAAAAGCUUACCAAGCCGACGAUCUGUAGCUGGUCUGAGAGGACGACCAGCCACACUGGGACUGAGACACGGCCCAGACUCCUACGGGAGGCAGCAGUGGGGAAUUUUGGACAAUGGGCGAAAGCCUGAUCCAGCCAUGCCGCGUGCAGGAUGAAGGCCUUCGGGUUGUAAACUGCUUUUGUACGGAACGAAAAGACUCUUUCUAAUAAAGAGGGUCCAUGACGGUACCGUAAGAAUAAGCACCGGCUAACUACGUG
rnacentral:rRNA from 1 species